rnacentral:rRNA from 1 species
GUUGAACGCUGGCGGCAGGCCUAACACAUGCAAGUCGAACGAGUAGCGGAGGGGCGGGCAAUGUAUGAGAAACUGACUGAUGGAGGGGGAUCACUACUGGAAACGGUAGCUACUCACGCAUCACAUCGGAUGUGCCCAGGUGGGAUUAGCUAGUGGGUGGGGUAACGGCUCACCUAGGCGACGAUCCCUAGCAGGUCUGAGAGGAUGAUCAGCCACACUGGAACUGAGACACGGUCCAGACUCCUACGGGAGGCAGCAGUGGGGAAUAUUGGACAAUGGGCGCAAGCCUGAUGCAGCCAUGCCGCGUGUGUGAAGAAGGCCUUCGGAUUGUAAAGUACUGUCAGCGGGGAGGCGUUACCCGCAGAAGAAGCACCGGCUAACUCCGUGCCAGCAGCCGCGGUAAUUC